rnacentral:rRNA from 1 species
UGUUUCGGCUAGGGGGCCAUCCCGGCUUACCAACCCGAUGCAAACUGCGAAUACCGGAGAAUGUUAUCACGGGAGACACACGGCGGGUGCUAACGUCCGUCGUGAAGAGGGAAACAACCCAGACCGCCAGCUAAGGUCCCAAAGUCAUGGUUAAGUGGGAAACGAUGUGGGAAGGCCCAGACAGCCAGGAUGUUGGCUUAGAAGCAGCCAUCAUUUAAAGAAAGCGUAAUAGCUCACUGGUCGAGUCGGCCUGCGCGGAAGAUGUAACGGGGCUAAACCAUGCACCGAAGCUGCGGCAGCGACACUGUGUGUUGUUGGGUAGGGGAGCGUUCUGUAAGCCUGUGAAGGUGGCCUGUGAGGGUUGCUGGAGGUAUCAGAAGUGCGAAUGCUGACAUAAGUAACGAUAAAGCG